GUUUUUGUAGUUGAUAUACAACGGUGGUUUUUCGAGCCACAGGACUCUGUAAGAGUAAAAACC
rnacentral:tRNA from 1 species